UACGGGGGGGGCAAGCGUUGUUCGGAAUUAUUGGGCGUAAAGAGCUCGUAGGCGGUUUGUCGCGUCUGCCGUGAAAAUCCGGGGCUCAACUCCGGAUCUGCGGUGGGUACGGGCAGACUAGAGUGAUGUAGGGGAGACUGGAAUUCCUGGUGUAGCGGUGAAAUGCGCAGAUAUCAGGAGGAACACCGAUGGCGAAGGCGGCUCACUGGCCCGUUUCUGACGCUGUAGCGCGAAAGCGUGGGGAUCAAACAGG
rnacentral:rRNA from 1 species